AAAAACAUUUCCUCUUGGUAUAAGAGGUAAGGCCUGCUCACUGACUAGGUUGAAGAGCCGCAGUAUAUUGACUGUGCUAAGGUAGCAUAAUCAUUAGUCCUUUAAUUGGGGACUGGUAUGAAUGGCUAAACGAGAAAUUAGCUUUCUUUGUUAUGGUUUGUUGAAUUUAACUUGUAAGUGAAAAGGCUUACAUGAUUCAGAAAGACGAGAAGACCCUAUAGAGUUUUACAAAGGCCUAAAAUACAGCUUAUUAGUUUUAAAGGGUUAUAUUUUGGAAAUUUGUUUGGUUGGGGCGACAUAAAGAUAAAAAAAACUCUUUGUAGUAUAAACUUUGGUGGAAGAAAAGGUUUGAUCCUCUAAAAGGGAUUAUAAGAAAAAAUUACCUUAGGGAUAACAGCGUAAUCUUCUUUUAGAGUUCAAAUCGACAAGAAGGUUUGCGACCUCGAUGUUGGACUAAAAUUUGGGCAAGGUGCAGCAGCUUUGUUUUUGGGUCUGUUCGACCCGUAAUAUUUUACAUGAUCUGAGUU
rnacentral:rRNA from 1 species